UCAUCCUACGGGGGGCAGCAGUGAGGAAUAUUGGUCAAUGGUCGGGAGACUGAACCAGCCAAGCCGCGUGAGGGAUGAAGGUACAGAGUAUCGUAAACCUCUUUUGUCAGGGAACAAAGGCGGGGACGCGUCCCCGGAUGAGUGUACCUGAAGAAAAAGCAUCGGCUAACUCCGUGCCAGCAGCCGCGGUAAUACGGAGGAUGCGGGCGUUAUCCGGAUUUAUUGGGUUUAAAGGGUGCGUAGGCGGGGUAUCAAGUCAGCGGGAAAAAGGGGGAGCUCAAAUCCAUCCAGCCGUUGAA
rnacentral:rRNA from 1 species